rnacentral:rRNA from 1 species
GAUGAACGCUGACAGAAUGCUUAACACAUGCAAGUCUACUUGAACUUCGGUUUGGGUGGCGGACGGGUGAGUAACGCGUAAAGAACUUGCCUCACAGUUAGGGACAACAUUUGGAAACGAAUGCUAAUACCUGAUAUUAUGAUUUUAGGGCAUCCUAAGAUUAUGAAAGCUAUAUGUGCUGUGAGAGAGCUUUGCGUCCCAUUAGCUAGUUGGAGAGGUAACGGCUCACCAAGGCGAUGAUGGGUAGCCGGCCUGAGAGGGUGAACGGCCACAAGGGGACUGAGACACGGCCCUUACUCCUACGGGAGGCAGCAGUGGGGAAUAUUGGACAAUGGACCAAAAGUCUGAUCCAGCAAUUCUGUGUGCACGAUGACGUUUUUCGGAAUGUAAAGUGCUUUCAGUUGGGAAGAAAAAAAUGACGGUACCAACGUAAUAAGUGACGGCUAAAUACGUGCCAGCAGCCGCGGUAAUACGUAUGUCACAAGCGUUAUCCGGAUUUAUUGGGCGUAAAGCGCGGCUUGGUGGUUAUGUAAGUCUGAUGUGAAAAUGCAGGGCUCAACUCUGUAUUGCGUGUGGAGACUGCGUGACUAUAGUACUUGUAGAGUAAUCGUGAACUUGUAGUGUGGAUGUGAAAAUUUGUUGAUAUUUGUAGGAAUGCCGAUGGUGAAGCACGCCUGAUUGGACGAUUCUGAUGCUUGGUGCGCUGGAGUGUGUUUAUGAAACAAGAUUGAAUACCGUGGUAUGUGAUGGGCUGUGUGCGUUGUUGGGAUGUGUGUGGUUGUGUGAGCUGCGCGUCUGCCGUGGGUGGUGACGAAAUGCAUAUGAUGUAAUCUCAUAGAGAGUGUGUGUUGUUGGUCUAGUGUCUGUCUCCUGUGCUGGGUGUGUGUUUUGUGUGGUUGCGUGUGUUGGUGUGUGGGU